CGCCUGGAACGGUGAGUGGAUGAAAGCUCCGGCGGCAUAGGAUGGGCCUGCGGCGUAUCAGGUUGUAGGGGGUGUAACGUACCCUCUAGCCCUCUACGCGUACGGGUGUUGGGAGACAUAGCCCGGAGAUGGAUUCUGAGACACGAAUCCAGACCCUACGGGGUGCAGCAGGCGCGAAAACUUGGCAAUGCGAGAAAUCGUGACCAGGGAACUCCAAGUGCAUCGGGUAAGACCGGUGCUUUUCUUGACUCUAAAAAGGUCUUGGAAUAAGGGGUGGGUAAGGACGGUGCCAGCCGCCGCGGUAAUACCGGCGCCUCAAGUGGUAGUCGCUUUUAUUGGGCCUAAAACGUCCGUAGCCGGUCUGAUACAUUCGUGGGUAAAUCAACCAGCUCAACUGGUUGAAUUCUGCGAGGACGGUCAGACUUGGGACCGGGAGAGGUGUGGGGUACGCUCAGGGUAGGGGUAAAAUCCUGUCAUCCUGAGCGGACCACCUGUUGCGAAGGCGCCACACUAGAACGGAUCCGACGGUCAGGGACGAAGCCUAGGGGCACGAACCGGAUUAGAUACCCGGGUAGUCCUAGGUGUAAACGCUGUGGACUUGAUGUUGGGGGUGCUCCGAGCACUCUCAGUGUCGAAGCGAAGGUGAUAAGUCCACUGCCUGGGAAGUACGGUCGCAAGGCUGAAACUUAAAGGAAUUGGCGGGGGAGCACCGCAACCUGAGGAUUGUGCGGUUUAAUUGGACUCAACGCCGGGA
rnacentral:rRNA from 1 species